rnacentral:rRNA from 1 species
CCCUUAGAUGUUCUGGGCCGCACGCGCGCUACACUGUUCGACGCAGCGAGUCUUAACCUUGACCGAAAGGUUUGGGUAAUCUUCAGCAAAGUCGAACGUGAUGGGGAUCGAUCAUUGCAAUUAUUGAUCGUGAACGAGGAGUUCCUAGUAAGUGCAAGUCAUCAGCUUGCGCUGAUCACGUCCCUGCCCUUUGUACACACCGCCCGUCGCUCCUACCGAUUGGGUGUGCUGGUGAAAUGUUCGGAUCGGCCGUUUGUCGCGGUUUCCGCGUCAUGUGGCUGAGAAGUUCAUUAAACCCUCCCACCUAGAGGAAGGAGAAGUCGUAACA